rnacentral:rRNA from 1 species
UACGGAGGGUGCAAGCGUUAAUCGGAAUUACUGGGCGUAAAGCGCACGUAGGUGGUUUGCUAAGUCAGCUGUGAAAUCCCCGGGCUCAACCUGGGCACUGCAGUUGAAACUGGCAAGCUAGAGUAGGGUAGAGGGGUGUGGAAUUCCAGGUGUAGCGGUGAAAUGCGUAGAUAUCUGGAGGAACAUCAGUGGCGAAGGCGACACCCUGGACUCAUACUGACACUGAGACGCGAAAGCGUGGGGAGCAAACAGG